rnacentral:rRNA from 1 species
AACGCUAGCUACAGGCUUAACACAUGCAAGUCGAGGGGAAACGAUAUUGGAAGCUUGCUUCCGAUAGGCGUCGACCGGCGCACGGGUGAGUAACGCGUAUCCAACCUGCCCAUCACUUGGGGAUAACCUUGCGAAAGUAAGACUAAUACCCAAUGAUAUCUCUAGAAGACAUCUGAAAGAGAUUAAAGAUUUAUCGGUGAUGGAUGGGGAUGCGUCUGAUUAGCUUGUUGGCGGGGUAACGGCCCACCAAGGCAACGAUCAGUAGGGGUUCUGAGAGGAAGGUCCCCCACAUUGGAACUGAGACACGGUCCAAACUCCUACGGGAGGCAGCAGUGAGGAAUAUUGGUCAAUGGGCGAGAGCCUGAACCAGCCAAGUAGCGUGCAGGAUGACGGCCCUAUGGGUUGUAAACUGCUUUUAUACAGGAAUAAAGUUAGCCACGUGUGGUUAUUUGUAGGUACUGUAUGAAUAAGGACCGGCUAAUUCCGUGCCAGCAGCCGCGGUAAUACGGAAGGUCCAGGCGUUAUCCGGAUUUAUUGGGUUUAAAGGGAGCGUAGGCCGUCUGUUAAGCGUGUUGUGAAAUGUAGAUGCUCAACAUCUGAAUUGCAGCGCGAACUGGCAGACUUGAGUGUGCGCAACGUAGGCGGAAUUCGUGGUGUAGCGGUGAAAUGCUUAGAUAUCACGAAGAACUCCGAUUG